rnacentral:lncRNA from 1 species
CUGAACCUCCAUCAAAGCUUAAAGGUUCCUUUCUUCAGUCAGACACCGCCAGGCGCUCAUGUGUGAUCACCAAAUGCCAGUUCUUAAAACGCUUUUUAAUUAAAUUAUUUCAACGGCUUCUAGAUAUGCCGAAAGUCGAUAGGCAGUCUCCAGACCUGUUUUCCUGCAUAACUGCCUCACUCACGGGGAGGGAUAGAGGACCUCGUUCUUACCCGUAAGUACGAAGUUAGUUCUUCACGCGCCUCCCCAUGUUGCACUCUGGACUACAAGUAAGAAUUGCUUACAGACUUUGAUACCGAAGUUGGCAUACGCGAUUGGCUAAAUGACAUAAAUAGCAAGGGCUUCCAUAAAUAGCAAGGGCUUCCGUGCCCGUUAGUUCGCUCGUUCACUUAAAAGCUAGUAAUAUAGGUUUUCCAAGCCAUGUUUUCAUUACAUGAACUGUCACUGACAUGUUGGCGCCAAAACGCGAUGGUGGGCAGGAGGUGGCGUCAAACCCGAUGUAAAGAAGUUUGUGUUCGAUCGAUCGGAUGGUGUGAUGUGGUAUGAUAUGACUCUGUAAAGUAAACUCACUUCGCGUAACCUUGACGGCUUUCAGUUCUCCCGUUCUUGCGUUAGGUUUCUAAUCUACUGUGUUACCCUGAUGUUGCCGGGUUCCACCCCUGCCGCCGCCACGUAACUGGUGGCGGUGCCCCCGCUGCCCCUCAAGAUCAUCCCCGCACCUCUUUACAGAACGAGGCGAAGGCUUCCAUUCCCACUGUAGAAGAAUGCAUGGUGAAAACCAUUCACUUGCAUUGCGUACAUCUCCAGCGAUGCGCUGAAAGGGUACUAGAGGGCGGAUAGGAAGAGAACAUUCAUUCAUGCGCCCGUGGAGGAUGAUUCCAGUAGGUUGGAAACACAUCCCCAUGAAAAUUGAGGUGGCGCAGCGGAAG